rnacentral:rRNA from 1 species
UACGGAGGGGGCCAGCGUUGCUCGGAAUUACUGGGCGUAAAGCGUGCGCAGGCGGUUUCGUAAGACAGAGGUGAAAUCCCCGGGCUCAACCUGGGAACUGCGCUUGUGACUGCAAGGCUAGAGUACGGCAGAGGGGGGUGGAAUUCCACGUGUAGCAGUGAAAUGCGUAGAGAUGUGGAGGAACACCAAUGGCGAAGGCAGCCCCCUGGGUCGAUACUGACGCUCAUGCACGAAAGCGUGGGUAGCAAACAGG